GGUAGUCCACGCUGUAAACGAUGAGUGCUAGCUGUUGGCUCCAUAGGAGUCAGUGGCGCAGCUAACGCAUUAAGCACUCCGCCUGGGGAGUACGGUCGCAAGAUUAAAACUCAAAGAAAUUGACGGGGACCCGCACAAGCGGUGGAGCAUGUGGUUUAAUUCGAGGCAACGCGAAGAACCUUACCAGGACUUGACAUGUCCAGUAUGGAUUUCAGAAAUGAUUUCCUUCAGUUCGGCUGGCUGGAACACAGGUGCUGCAUGGCUGUCGUCAGCUCGUGUCGUGAGAUGUUGGGUUAAG
rnacentral:rRNA from 1 species